rnacentral:antisense_RNA from 1 species
CUUCACCGACCCCAGCCACAGCGGCGCCUGCCGGUCCUGGCCGUAGGCGGCCAACAGCGCCUGCGCCUC